rnacentral:rRNA from 1 species
UGGGGAAUAUUGCACAAUGGGCGAAAGCCUGAUGCAGCAACGCCGCGUGAAGGAAGAAGGGUUUCGGCUCGUAAACUUCUAUCAACAGGGACGAAAAAAAUGACGGUACCUGAAUAAGAAGCCCCGGCUAACUACGUGCCAGCAGCCGCGGUAAUACGUAGGGGGCAAGCGUUAUCCGGAAUUACUGGGUGUAAAGGGAGAGUAGGCGGCAUGGUAAGUUAGAUGUGAAAGCCCGAGGCUUAACCUCGGGAUUGCAUUUAAAACUAUCAAGCUAGAGUACAGGAGAGGUAAGUGGAAUUCCUAGUGUAGCGGUGAAAUGCGUAGAUAUUAGGAAGAACACCAGUGGCGAAGGCGACUUACUGGACUGAAACUGACGCUGAGGCUCGAAAGCGUGGGGAGCGAACAG